rnacentral:rRNA from 1 species
GCAGAGAUGCUUUGGUGCCUUCGGGAACUGUGAGACAGGUGCUGCAUGGCUGUCGUCAGCUCGUGUUGUGAAAUGUUGGGUUAAGUCCCGCAACGAGCGCAACCCUUAUCCUUUGUUGCCAGCGGUUAGGCCGGGAACUCAAAGGAGACUGCCAGUGAUAAACUGGAGGAAGGUGGGGAUGACGUCAAGUCAUCAUGGCCCUUACGACCAGGGCUACACACGUGCUACAAUGGCGCAUACAAAGAGAAGCGACCUCGCGAGAGCAAGCGGACCUCAUAAAGUGCGUCGUAGUCCGGAUUGGAGUCUGCAACUCGACUCCAUGAAGUCGGAAUCGCUAGUAAUCGUAGAUCAGAAUGCUACGGUGAAUACGUUCCCGGGCCUUGUACACACCGCCCGUCACACCAUGGGAGUGGGUUGCAAAAGAAGUAGGUAGCUUAACCUUCGGGAGGGCGCUUACCACUUUGUGAUUCAUGACUGGGGUGAAGUCGUAACAAGGUAACCGUAGGGGAACCUGCGGUUGGAUCACCUCCUUA